rnacentral:rRNA from 1 species
ACACGACUACAUUAGAUACCCCUGUAGUCCCAGCCCUAAACGAUGCGCGUUAGGUGUAUCGGUGACCACGAGUCACCGAGGUGCCGAAGGGAAACCGUGAAACGUGCCGCCUGGGAAGUACGGUCGCAAGGCUGAAACUUAAAGGAAUUGGCGGGGAGCACCACAGCGGGUGGAGCCUGCGGUUUAAUUGGACUCGACGCCGGGAAGCUCACCGGAUAAGACAGCGGAAUGAUUGCCGGGCUGAAGACCCUGCAUGACCAGCUG